CCAGAGAGUUCAGUAGGUAGAGAUGUGACCACCAGAUGGUGGUGCACCUCUGCUGAUCAGAACAUGUGGAGGGUUCAUUGAGUGGGUUCUGAAUGGAUAGGUAGGCUUGGGGCAGAAGCAGAGCCUUUUUCUUAUUGGCUGGGUAGACAAUGAAAGAAACCACUAGAGAAAAGAAGGGAUCACUUGGUAACAGAAGCAGCUCUCCUGGCCAGAGACUGCAGGUCCACACUUGAUUCUAAAUAGGAAAAAUAAUGAAGAUACCCAUUGGAGCUUUAAUCACAUUUUUGUGGCUGCAGCUGGACUGUGUCAGCCUUGGAAACAAGGUAGAGCAGAGUCCUACCUUGAGUGUCCAGGAGGGAAACAGCUCUGUUAUCACCUGCACUUAUACAGAUGGUAACUCAGAGUAUUUCCCUUGGUAUAAGCAAGAACCUGGAAAAGGUCCCCAGCUCCUUAUAGCUAUUCGUUCAAAUAAGGCCAAAGAGGAAGACCAGAGACUGACUGUUUUAUUGAAUAAGAGAGCCAAACAUCUCUCCCUGCACAUCGCAACCACUGAAGCUGGAGACUCAGCUGUCUACUUCUGUGCAGCAAGUACACAGUGCUUCCCAGGCAUCUUCUGUCUGUACUGAAACCUGUGACUGGGGCAGCCACCUUCCUUUGGUGCAACCUUCAAAUAUGACAAAUGUUAUAUUGUUUGUCUGCAGGUGGAAACUGAUGUGCUAGUCAUAAAAAACAUGUGAAAGAAGGUGAAAGUCACUCA